CUGAUCCAGCCAUGCCGCGUGAAGUGAAGAAGGCCUUCGGGUUGUAAAGCUCUUUCGGCGGGGACGAAAAGGUCCGUGUUAACACCACGGAUCCAUGACGGUACCCGCAGAAGAAGCACCGGCUAACUACGUGCCAGCAGCCGCGGUAAUACGUAGGGUGCAGGCGUUAAUCGGAAUUGCUGGGCGUAAAGCGUGCGCAGGCGGUCUAUUAAGACAGGUGUGAAAUCCCCGGGCUUAACCUGGGAACUGCGCUUGUAACUGAUAGGCUGGAGUGUGGCAGAGGGGGGUGGAAUUCCAGGUGUAGCAGUGAAAUGCGUAGAGAUCUGGAGGAACACCGAUGGCGAAGGCAGCCCCCUGGGCUAACACUGACGCUCAUGCACGAAAGCGUGGGGAGCAAACAGGAUUAGAUACCCUGGUAGUCCACGCCCUAAACUAUGUCAACUGGUUGUCGGGGAAGCAAUUCCUUGGUAACGAAGCUAACGCGUGAAGUUGACCGCCUGGGGAGUACGGCCGCAAGGUUAAAACUCAAAGGAAUUGACGGGGACC
rnacentral:rRNA from 1 species